CCUUAAACCGACACAGGUGGGUGAGUGUAAAUGCACUAAGGCGCGCGAGAGAGACCUCUCUAAGGAACUCGGCACAUUAGCCUCGUAACUUCGGGAAAAGAGGUGCUCACUUCGGUGAGCCACAGUAAAUUGCGUUUAGCGACUGUUUAACAAAAACACAGCACUCUGCUAAGUCGUUAAGACGACGUAUAGGGUGUGACACGUGACCAAUGCGGAAAGAUUAAGGCAUUUUGUUAGCCGCAAGGCGAAGCUCGGUGCCAAAGUCCCCGUGAAUGUCGGCCGUAACUAUAACGGUCCUAAGGUAGCGAAAUUCCUUGUCGGGUAAGUUCCGACCUGCACGAAUCGUGUAACGACUGAACGACUGUCUCGGAGAGGAUCUCGGCGAAACUGUAACUGCGGUGAAGAUGCCGCAUGCCCGCAGUAGGACGGAAAGACCCUAUGCACCUUUACUGUAAGCUGGUAUUGUGUUCUGAUUAAUAAUGCGUAGCGUAGGUGGGAGGCUUUGAAGUGAGUGCUUCGGUGCUCAUGGAGCCGCAAUGUGAAACACCACUCUUUGCUAAUUAGGAUUCUAACCUCGAUUCCUGUCAACCAGGCGAGGGACAGUGCUUGCGGGUCAGUUUGACUGGGGCGGUUUCCUCCCAAAGAGUAACGGAGGAGCGCGAAGCUUGGCUCAGCACGGUUGGCAACCGUGCGUCGAGCGUAUGGGUAUAAGCCAGGUUAACUGUGAGACCUACAAGUCGAGCAGAUGCGAAAGCAGGCCCUAAUGAUCCGAUGGUUUAAUGUGGAAUUGCCAUCGCUCAACGGACAAAAGGUACGCUAGGGAUAACAGGCUGAUCGGUUCCAAGAGUUCACAUCGACGAACCGGUUUGGCACCUCGAUGUCGGCUCAUCGCAUCCUGGGGCUGGAGAAGGUCCCAAGGGUCCGGCUGUUCGCCGGUUAAAGCGGUACGCGAGCUGGGUUCAGAACGUCGUGAGACAGUUCGGUCCUUAUCCACUGUGGGCGCAGGAAUCUUGAGGGGUUCAUUCUCUAGUACGAGAGGACCGAGAAUGACGCACUUCUGGUGUGGCAGUUGUUCCAUCAGGGGCAUCGCUGCGUAGCCAUGUGCGGAAGAGAUAAGCGCUGAAAGCAUCUAAGUGCCAAGCUCAUCCCAAGAUAUGGAUUCCCGGACGCAAGUCCCUAAAGACCCCCGGCAGACUACCGGGUUGAUAGGUCAGGCAUGUAAGCGUCGCGAGAUGUUUAGUGGACUGAUACUAAUUGGUCGUGCGGCUUGAUCGC
rnacentral:rRNA from 1 species